rnacentral:rRNA from 1 species
GACGAACGCUGGCGGCGUGCUUAACACAUGCAAGUCGAACGAGAGCGUAGAGAAAGCUUGCUUUUUCUACAAUCUAGUGGCAAACGGGUGAGUAACGCGUAAACAACCUGCCCUACGGAUGGGGACAACAGCUGGAAACGGCUGCUAAUACCGAAUACGUUCCGAAAGUCGCAUGACUAUCGGAAGAAAGGAUGGCCUCUAUUUAUAAGCUAUCGCCGGAGGAGGGGUUUGCGUCUGAUUAGCUAGUUGGAGGGGUAACGGCCCACCAAGGCGACGAUCAGUAGCCGGUCUAAGAGGAUGAACGGCCACAUUGGAACUGAGACACGGUCCAGACUCCUACGGGAGGCAGCAGUGGGGAAUCUUCCGCAAUGGGCGAAAGCCUGACGGAGCAACGCCGCGUGAGUGAAGACGGCCUUCGGGUUGUAAAGCUCUGUUAUACGGGACGAAUAAUCUUGUGGUUAAUACCCAUGAGAAGUGACGGUACCGUAAGAGAAAGCCACGGCUAACUACGUG